GCGCAGUGUAGAAGCGUCUGAGGACAAAUGUUCCACUUUUUGUAUGUACGACCGCUCCAAAUCAUGACUUAGAGAUAUUUUUGGCUUUGCGCUCGUCCUUACAACAAAGAUAAUCAAAAUUUGGCAUCACUGGAUUUCUAGAGAAUCUCUUAGGCUAUCGAUUGAUCUACAUUUUUUCCUAUUCUACGCAAUAACCAUACCACAGCUACGCGUUAAAGAGGAUACGCGUAGUAAGUACCGAGGUGUCUUGGUCAGAGGGUGGGAGGAGUGACAGUCAUUGACGUGCCAUAUCAUUGCAAAGUAGCCGUCUGGUUUCAGGAUGCGUCUAAUCUCUUGGAGGGAGUCCAGAGUAGCGAACCUAUCCUAUCAACAACAAAAACAAACCCCCGGAUUGGGAAGAUGAACAAACCUGCGUAGCGAAAACCCCAUCCACACUUCCACUCUCAAUCUGCAAUUCCUGU
rnacentral:lncRNA from 1 species